rnacentral:rRNA from 1 species
UACGAAGGGGGCUAGCGUUGCUCGGAAUCACUGGGCGUAAAGGGUGCGUAGGCGGGUCUUUUAAGUCAGGGGUGAAAUCCUGGAGCUCAACUCCAGAACUGCCUUUGAUACUGAAGAUCUUGAGUUCGGGAGAGGUGAGUGGAACUGCGAGUGUAGAGGUGAAAUUCGUAGAUAUCGAGAGGAACACCGGUGGCGAAGGCGGCCAACUGGACGAGUACUGACGCUGAGACACGAAAGCGUGGGGAGCAAACAGGA